rnacentral:tRNA from 2 species
GCCGGCAUAGCUCAGUUGGUAGAGCAACGCAUUCGUAACGCGUAGGUCCGGUGUUCGAUCCACCGUGCCGGCACCA